CUUUGUCACAGGAACGAGCACUCCCCCCUCUCCUGACUACCCUGUGGCAUUCCGAGCAGCCAGAUCCAGGUACAAAUAUCUGAUUGCGAGACAUCCCAGCUUCAUGUCCAUCGGCUGGAGGUUACCAGGCCUUGUCUUCGCAAGACUCAGUCAGCCGGCUGCCUGAACCUGCAGCCCACCAGGGAGCACUAAUUCCUGGAGAGGUGGGAACCGAGGUCCAAGGAAGCCAUACCAGAACAAGGCACAAAAUGAAGACAUAAUGAAGACACAAUUUCACAGUCGCUUCUGUCCAUUUUUCAUUGCCCCAAACUCACUUAUGUGGUCCAAAUUAAAGAGUUUACAAGUGUGACGUGAGCAGAGGAUAUGUCAAGAAAAGUGUGAGGACAGAGGAUCAGAUCUACAGUGCUGCUGUUUGCAGGAUCAGCAGAAUCCUUGAAGGGAAUCAACCCAGAGCAGACGCCGAGGACGUUGUGCGUACCAGAGGCGCAGGUACGGACAGCAGGCUGGGUGGAAAGUGGGUAAAAGGAAAACACUAGGAAAUAAUUCUCCCUGGCUGCCCUGGUUUGGGUUCCCUGUGUGGGAUGGCUUCUGUCCAGGCCUGGGUCCAGCCCUGGGGUCCAUGGAUCGUCCAGAAUGAGUCAAGGCCAAGGUUUAAUACGGUAUUCGCAAACACUGAAGAAUAAGGGGUUUUGAGUCUCCUAUGUCUGACCUCAUUCCGUAAAAACUGUGAAAUGGCCAGGUCCCUAAACUUCUCCAUCCUUCAGGUUGCUAGCUCCAACAUAGGGGUGACGGAAAGUGGAAGGUAAUUUAUAGCAUUUGUGAAAACCUGUACUUACAUGUAAGAGGUUUGACUGAUGAUGGGUGCUCAAUGAAUGCCAUCUACAGGAAGAAAUAUUUC
rnacentral:lncRNA from 1 species